GGAUAAAGGCACCACGUGCCAAAAAGGCCGCUCACUGUUGCAUUUCUCUGGGGGAAUAAAGGAAAAAUCACAGGAAAGGUCACCCCAGGUCCAGAAGAAGCUGUAACACUUGAAGUUGGGGCCAAUUGGAAGGCAUUUGGAUAUGAUGGGACAAGGAGGUGGCACAAUUCGAAGGGCCGAAGACCCGGCAAGGAACCGGUCAUUGAUAACACUUGUUUCCAAACUGCAUCAGGGGUCAGCAGACCUCCUCCCCAUCCAUCUCUAAAGGCCACGCUGCCGCUUAAACAGUCCCAAGCAGCAGACCGAUGCACUCCUCUAUUUUUGGCCCCCUCUACAGUUGGCUGGAUACUGUGUUAUGUUAUUAUUCUGUGA